CCUUUGUACACACCGCCCGUCGCUACUACCGAUUGAAUGGCUCAGUGAGGCGUUCGGACUGGCUCGGGGAGGUUGGCAACGACCACCCCAAGCCGGAAAGUUCGUCAAACUCGGUCAUUUAGAGGAAGUAAAAGUCGUAACAAGGUCUCCGUAGGUGAACCUGCGGAGGGAUCAUUACACAAUAUAAUACGAAGGCCGUCCGCGGCUGGACUAUUUUAUUACCCUUGUCUUUUGCGCACUUGUUGUUUCCUGGGCGGGUUCGCUCGCCACCAGGACCACCAAAUAAACCUUUUUAAUGCAGUUGCAAUCAGCGUCAGUACAACAAAUGUUAAUCAUUUACAACUUUCAACAACGGAUCUCUUGGUUCUGGCAUCGAUGAAGAACGCAGCGAAAUGCGAUACGUAGUGUGAAUUGCAGAAUUCAGUGAAUCAUCGAAUCUUUGAACGCACAUUGCGCCCUUUGGUAUUCCAAAGGGCAUGCCUGUUCGAGCGUCAUUUGUACCCUCAAGCUUUGCUUGGUGUUGGGCGUUUCUUGUCUUUGGCUGGCCCAAAGACUCGCCUUAAAACGAUUGGCAGCCGGCCUACUGGUUUCGCAGCGCAGCACAUUUUUGCGCUUGCAAUCAGCAAAAGAGGACGGCACUCCAUCAAGAACUCCUUCUCACGUUUGACCUCGGAUCAGGUAGGGAUACCCGCUGAACUUAAGCAUAUCAUAA
rnacentral:misc_RNA from 1 species